UGGGGAAUCUUGGACAAUGGGGGCAACCCUGAUCCAGCCAUGCCGCGUGGGUGAAGAAGGCCUUAGGGUUGUAAAGUCCUUGCGAGGACUCUUGAAGGUACCAUAAGAAUAAGCACCGGCUAACUCCGUGCCAGCAGCCGCGGUAAUACGGAGGGUGCAAGCGUUAUCCGGAUUUACUGGGUUUAAAGGGUGCGUAGGCGGCUUUUUAAGUCAGUGGUGAAAGCCUAGACACUUAAUGUCAGAAGUGCCAUUGAUACUGAAGAGCUUGAGUCAAGGAGAGGUAAGCAGAAUUUGUGGUGUAGCAGUGAAAUGCUUAGAUACCAUGAGGAAUACCGACAGCGAAAGCAGCUUACUGGCCUUGUACUGACGCUGAGGCACGAAAGCGUGGGGAGCAAACAGGAUUAGAUACCCCCGUAGUCC
rnacentral:rRNA from 1 species